rnacentral:rRNA from 1 species
GGAAUCUGGGAGGACCAUCUCCUAAGGCUAAAUACUCUCUAGUGACCGAUAGUGAACCAGUACCGUGAGGGAAAGGUGAAAAGCACCCCGGAAGGGGAGUGAAAUAGAACCUGAAACCGUGUGCUUACAAGUAGUCAGAGCCCGUUAAUGGGUGAUGGCGUGCCUUUUGUAGAAUGAACCGGCGAGUUACGAUUUGAUGCAAGGUUAAGCAGUAAAUGUGGAGCCGUAGCGAAAGCGAGUCUGAAUAGGGCGUUUAGUAUUUGGUCGUAGACCCGAAACCAGGUGAUCUACCCUUGGUCAGGUUGAAGUUCAGGUAACACUGAAUGGAGGACCGAACCGACUUACGUUGAAAAGUGAGCGGAUGAACUGAGGGUAGCGGAGAAAUUCCAAUCGAACCUGGAGAUAGCUGGUUCUCUCCGAAAUAGCUUUAGGGCUAGCCUCAAGUGAUGAUUAUUGGAGGUAGAGCACUGUUUGGACGAGGGGCCCCUCUCGGGUUACCGAAUUCAGACAAACUCCGAAUGCCAAUUAAUUUAACUUGGGAGUCAGAACAUGGGUGAUAAGGUCCGUGUUCGAAAGGGAAACAGCCCAGACCACCAGCUAAGGUCCCAAAAUAUAUGUUAAGUGGAAAAGGAUGUGGCGUUGCCCAGACAACUAGGAUGUUGGCUUAGAAGCAGCCAUCAUUUAAAGAGUGCGUAAUAGCUCACUAGUCGAGUGACACUGCGCCGAAAAUGUACCGGGGCUAAACAUAUUACCGAAGCUGUGGAUUGUCCUUUGGACAAUGGUAGGAGAGCGUUCUAAGGGCGUUGAAGCAUGAUCGUAAGGACAUGUGGAGCGCUUAGAAGUGAGAAUGCCGGUGUGAGUAGCGAAAGACGGGUGAGAAUCCCGUCCACCGAUUGACUAAGGUUUCCAGAGGAAGGCUCGUCCGCUCUGGGUUAGUCGGGUCCUAAGCUGAGGCCGACAGGCGUAGGCGAUGGAUAACAGGUUGAUAUUCCUGUACCACCUAUAAUCGUUUUAAUCGAUGGGGGGACGCAGUAGGAUAGGCGAAGCGUGCGAUUGGAUUGCACGUCUAAGCAGUAAGGCUGAGUAUUAGGCAAAUCCGG